UACAGAGGUGCCGAGCGUUAUGCGGAAUCACUGGGCUUAAAGCGUGUGUAGGUGGAUGUCUAAGUACCUUGUGAAAUCCCACGGCUUAACCGUGGAACUGCUCGGUAUACUGGAUGUCUUGAGCCAGCUAGGGGCUACCGGAACAAAUGGUGGAGCGGUGAAAUGCGUAGAUAUGUGGAGGAAUACCGAUGGCGAAGGCAGCCCCCUGGGAUAACACUGACGCUCAGGCACGAAAGCGUGGGGAGCAAACAGG
rnacentral:rRNA from 1 species